rnacentral:lncRNA from 1 species
CUCCCUGUGAGGGGAACAUUCUCAGGUCCACGGAGGACGGGGCUGUAGGCUGUGCCAAGAACCAAAGUGAAGAGCUCUAGGAAGGACAGUGGUGACCUACAGAAUACAGUUAUUACCCUCCUGUCACACCCAGGCACAGUGACAGAUGUCACAGCUGCCGACUGUCACCUCUUGGGACCAGAGAGAUGGUCGUGUUCUGAGGCAGGACCGCCUUGCUGUGAGGAUCUUCACCAGGUCAGAGGAGGAGACCCGUCCUGUCAGCAAAGGCAGCAGGUGAGAUCUGCUGGGAAUCAAGGAAUGAUUUUUCCAGAGUAUGGCUUCUGAGUACUGGAGUGGCUGAAUUGCUGCUGCUCAUCACAUCAUCAUUUUCCAGCACUGAAUGUAUGAAGGUAAUCCACAUCCAUAAUAAAGACGACCCUACAGAACCUGGCUUCCCCUACUACCAGCCUGGAGUUCCCAGUGAGGGUGACUGAAUUCUAAAUAGUUGCAGGUGUGAGGACUCAGGGAGGUGACAACUUUAAGAGGCCAAUCCGUGCCUCUUACAGGAGAUCCAGAAAGAAGGCAGUUUAGGUCUGAGUCUGAGGCAGCAUCGACAGGUCACACAACAGAGGAGGCCCAGGCAGUGUCAGGAGUCAAGGAGAGUG